rnacentral:rRNA from 1 species
CCUACGUGUGGCAGCAGUGAGGAAUAUUGGUCAAUGGGCGCGAGCCUGAACCAGCCAAGUAGCGUGAAGGAUGACUGCCCUACGGGUUGUAAACUUCUUUUAUAAAGGAAUAAAGUGAGGCACGUGUGCCUUUUUGUAUGUACUUUAUGAAUAAGGAUCGGCUAACUCCGUGCCAGCAGCCGCGGUAAUACGGAGGAUCCGAGCGUUAUCCGGAUUUAUUGGGUUUAAAGGGAGCGUAGAUGGGUUGUUAAGUCAGUGGUGAAAGUUUGCGGCUCAACCGUAAAAUUGCAAUUGAUACUGGCAGUCUUGAGUACAGUUGAGGUAGGCGGAAUUCGUGGUGUAGCGGUGAAAUGCUUAGAGAUCACGAAGAACUCCGAUUGCGAAGGCAGCUUACUAAACUGCCACUGACAUUGAUGCUCGAAAGUGUGGGUAUCAAACAGGAUUAGAUACCCUUGUAGUC